UCAGUCGUACAGGUAGCCGUAGAGUUGGAUUCUGGGUCAACGGGUGAGUAACACGUGAGUAACCUGCCCCCGACUCUGGGAUAAGCCCGGGAAACUGGGUCUAAUACCGGAUAUUACCUUUGACCGCAUGGUUGUUGGUGGAAAGAUUUAUCGGUGGGGGAUGGACUCGCGGCCUAUCAGCUUGUUGGUGAGGUAAUGGCUCACCAAGGCGACGACGGGUAGCCGGCCUGAGAGGGUGACCGGCCACACUGGGACUGAGACACGGCCCAGACUCCUACGGGAGGCAGCAGUGGGGAAUAUUGCACAAUGGGCGAAAGCCUGAUGCAGCGACGCCGCGUGAGGGAUGACGGCCUUCGGGUUGUAAACCUCUUUCAGUAGGGAAGAAGCGAAAGUGACGGUACCUGCAGAAGAAGCGCCGGCUAACUACGUGCCAGCAGCCGCGGUAAUACGUAGGGCGCAAGCGUUAUCCGGAUUUAUUGGGCGUAAAGAGCUCGUAGGCGGUUUGUCGCGUCUGCCGUGAAAGUCCGAGGCUCAACCUCGGAUCUGCGGUGGGUACGGGCAGACUAGAGUGAUGUAUGGGAGACUGGAAUUCCUGGUGUAGCGGUGAAAUGCGCAGAUAUCAGAGGAACACCGAUGGCGAAGGCAGGUCUCUGGGCAUUUACUGACGCUGAUGAGCGAA
rnacentral:rRNA from 1 species